rnacentral:sRNA from 1 species
AUUUAACCCUGAUUGUACUGGCAGCUUUUUUGUUUAUAAAAACCAAAACCUACAAGGAAAAGCAGGAAAAUGG